rnacentral:rRNA from 1 species
AGUGAACGCUGGCGGUAGGCCUAACACAUGCAAGUCGAACGGCAGCACAGGAGAGCUUGCUCUCUGGGUGGCGAGUGGCGGACGGGUGAGGAAUACAUCGGAAUCUACUCUGUCGUGGGGGAUAACGUAGGGAAACUUACGCUAAUACCGCAUACGACCUACGGGUGAAAGCAGGGGAUCUUCGGACCUUGCGCGAUUGAAUGAGCCGAUGUCGGAUUAGCUAGUUGGCGGGGUAAAGGCCCACCAAGGCGACGAUCCGUAGCUGGUCUGAGAGGAUGACCAGCCACACUGGAACGGAGACACGGUCCAGACUCCUACGGGAGGCAGCAGUGGGGAAUAUUGGACAAUGGGCGCAAGCCUGAUCCAGCCAUACCGCGUAGGUGAAGAAGGCCUUCGGGUUGUAAAGCCCUUUUGUUGGGAAAGAAAUCCAGCCGGCUAAUACCUGGUUGGGAUGACGGUACCCAAAGAAUAAGCACCGGCUAACUUCGUGCCAGCCGCCGCGGUAAGAC